CCGGCCUACGGGGCGCCAAUGAUGUGGGGCUCCUGCGAAUCCUGGCGGGACGGGAAGGUACCCGGGCGCCGGAGCCAUGAGUCUACGGGAGAGCUCCUGCUCCUGAGGUCAAGCAGACGACUGAGACUGGGGGCGGCUGGACGUGUCCAGGAGCCACGUGUAGCCGGUGGUAGUUGGCUCGUGGCUGAAAGCUAGGAAGAAGGUGGUUUGCUGAGAGGAUGGAUGGAUUUGAUGGGUAUCCGCAAACGGUUUGGAUUUGGACCCUUUGAUUUAGAUCGGACGAUCGAGAUAAAUAGAUUAGGGAGCCCAAGUGAACAACCAACGAUAAUUUGGUGUUUUACGGGGUUGAUCCGGAUUCAACGGUCAUGACGGUAUGAUUCGGGUUCGGGCUAGAUAUCGGACGCACGUGAGGGAUGUGUGCAUUGUGUAGAGGGGCUAGGCAUGACAAGAGAGGAAAGACGGGCAGCCCGACAACAAGUUUUAAAAUACCAAAACAUUUGUGAUUUAGGCCGGUUAUAGUGUCAGUA